GACGAACGCUGGCGGCGUGCUUAACACAUGCAAGUCGAACGGAAAGGCCCUGCUUGCAGGGUACUCGAGUGGCGAACGGGUGAGUAACACGUGGGUGAUCUGCCCUGCACUUCGGGAUAAGCUUGGGAAACUGGGUCUAAUACCGGAUAGGAACCAUCUUUAGUGUGGUGGUUGGAAAGUUUUUUCGGUGUAGGAUGAGCUCGCGGCCUAUCAGCUUGUUGGUGGGGUAAUGGCCUACCAAGGCGGCGACGGGUAGCCGGCCUGAGAGGGUGUACGGCCACAUUGGGACUGAGAUACGGCCCAGACUCCUACGGGAGGCAGCAAUGGGGAAUAUUGCACAAUGGGCGCAAGCCUGAUGCAGCGACGCCGCGUGGGGGAUGAAGGCCUUCGGGUUGUAAACUCCUUUCGCUAGGGACGAAGCUUUUUUGUGACGGUACCUAGAUAAGAAGCACCGGCUAACUACGUG
rnacentral:rRNA from 1 species